rnacentral:rRNA from 1 species
AUUGACCGCUGGCGGCAGGCCUAACACAUGCAAGUCGAACGAGUGGCGGACGGGUGAGUAAUGUCUGGGAAACUGCCUGAUGGUGGGGGAUAACUACUGGAAACUGUAGCUACUACCGCAUACCCUCAGAUUUCCCCCGCUGGGACUAGCUGGUUGGGGGGGUAACGGCUCACAAAGGCGACGAUCCCUCGCUGGUCUGAGAGGAUGACCAGCCACACUGGAACUGAGAGACGGUCCAGACUCCUACGGGAGGCAGCAGUGGGGAAGAUUGCACAAUGGGCGCAAGCCGGAUGCAGCCAUGCCGCGUGUAGGAAGAAGGCCGUCGGGUUGUAAAGUACUUUCAGCGGGGAGGCGUUACCCGCAGAAGAAGCACCGGCUAACUCCGUGCCAGCAGCCGCGGUAAUAC